rnacentral:rRNA from 1 species
AUGCAAGUCGAACGAGGUCGCCUUCGGGCAAUGACCAAGUGGCGAACGGGUGCGUAACACGUGAGGAACCUGCCCCGAAGACUGGGACAACCACGGGAAACUGUGGCUAAUACCAGAUGCCCUCCGCUGAUCGCAUGAUCGGCAGAGGAAAUGCUCCGGCGCUUCGGGAGGGCCUCGCGGCCUAUCAGCUUGUUGGUGAGGUAACGGCUCACCAAGGCAUCGACGGGUAGCUGGUCUGAGAGGACGAUCAGCCACACUGGGACUGAGACACGGCCUAGACUCCUGCGGGAGGCAGCAGUGGGGAAUCUUGCGCAAUGGGCGAAAGCCUGACGCAGCAACGCCGCGUGGGGGAUGAAGGCUCUCGGGUUGUAAACCCCUUUCAGCAGGGACGAAAUUGACGGUACCUGAAGAAGAAGCCCCGGCCAACUACGUGCCAGCAGCCGCGGUGACACGUAGGGGGCGAGCGUUGUCCGGAAUUAUUGGGCGUAAAGAGCUCGUAGGCGGUUUAGUAAGUCAGAUGUGAAAGGUUGGGGCUCAACCCUAAGACUGCAUCCGAUACUGCUAUGACUAGAGUCCGGUAGAGGAGUGUGGAAUUCCUGGUGUAGCGGUGAAAUGCGCAGAUAUCAGGAGGAACACCGACGGCGAAGGCAGCACUCUGGGCCGGUACUGACGCUCAGGAGCGAAAGCGUGGGUAGCAAACAGGAUUAGAUACCCUGGUAGUCCACGCCGUAAACGUUGGGCACUAGGUGUGGGGCCUUAUCAACGGGUUCCGUGCCGUAGCUAACGCAUUAAGUGCCCCGCCUGGGGAGUACGGCCGCAAGGCUAAAACUCAAAGGAAUUGACGGGGGCCCCGCACAAGCGGCGGAGCAUGUUGCUUAAUUCGAGGCAACGCGAAGAACCUUACCUGGGUUUGACAUGUA